AUUGAACCUUGGAGGCAUGCCUUACACAUGCAAGUCGAACGGCAGCACGGAGCUUGCUCUGGUGGCGAGUGGCGAACGGGUGAGUAAUAUAUCGGAACGUACCCUGGAGUGGGGGAUAACGUAGCGAAAGUUACGCUAAUACCGCAUACGAUCUAAGGAUGAAAGUGGGGGAUCGCAAGACCUCAUGCUCGUGGAGCGGCCGAUAUCUGAUUAGCUAGUUGGUAGGGUAAAAGCCUACCAAGGCAUCGAUCAGUAGCUGGUCUGAGAGGACGACCAGCCACACUGGAACUGAGACACGGUCCAGACUCCUACGGGAGGCAGCAGUGGGGAAUUUUGGACAAUGGGCGAAAGCCUGAUCCAGCAAUGCCGCGUGAGUGAAGAAGGCCUUCGGGUUGUAAAGCUCUUUUGUCAGGGAAGAAACGGUGAGAGCUAAUAUCUCUUGCUAAUGACGGUACCUGAAGAAUAAGCACCGGCUAACUACGUGCCAGCAGCCGCGGUAAUACGUAGGGUGCAAGCGUUAAUCGGAAUUACUGGGCGUAAAGCGUGCGCAGGCGGUUUUGUAAGUCUGAUGUGAAAUCCCCGGGCUCAACCUGGGAAUUGCAUUGGAGACUGCAAGGCUAGAAUCUGGCAGAGGGGGGUAGAAUUCCACGUGUAGCAGUGAAAUGCGUAGAUAUGUGGAGGAACACCGAUGGCGAAGGCAGCCCCCUGGGUCAAGAUUGACGCUCAUGCACGAAAGCGUGGGGAGCAAACAGGAUUAGAUACCCUGGUAGUCCACGCCCUAAACGAUGUCUACUAGUUGUCGGGUCUUAAUUGACUUGGUAACGCAGCUAACGCGUGAAGUAGACCGCCUGGGGAGUACGGUCGCAAGAUUAAAACUCAAAGGAAUUGACGGGGACCCGCACAAGCGGUGGAUGAUGUGGAUUAAUUCGAUGCAACGCGAAAAACCUUACCUACCCUUGACAUGGCUGGAAUCCUCGAGAGAUUGAGGAGUGCUCGAAAGAGAACCAGUACACAGGUGCUGCAUGGCUGUCGUCAGCUCGUGUCGUGAGAUGUUGGGUUAAGUCCCGCAACGAGCGCAACCCUUGUCAUUAGUUGCUACGAAAGGGCACUCUAAUGAGACUGCCGGUGACAAACCGGAGGAAGGUGGGGAUGACGUCAAGUCCUCAUGGCCCUUAUGGGUAGGGCUUCACACGUCAUACAAUGGUACAUACAGAGCGCCGCCAACCCGCGAGGGGGAGCUAAUCGCAGAAAGUGUAUCGUAGUCCGGAUUGUAGUCUGCAACUCGACUGCAUGAAGUUGGAAUCGCUAGUAAUCGCGGAUCAGCAUGUCGCGGUGAAUACGUUCCCGGGUCU
rnacentral:rRNA from 1 species